rfam:Lactobacillus sakei strain 23K complete genome.
GAAACCUUUAAUUUCAGUCCCGUGAGGCUGAGAAGGCACGGUGAAUUAAUCCAUUAGAUUAGAACUCUAGGACUAGUCUCAAACUGUAACCUCUCAACCAAUAUCGGUUGAGAGGUUUUUUGUU